rnacentral:rRNA from 1 species
GCAGCAGCCACGGUAAUACAGAGGGUGCGAGCGUUAAUCGGAUUUACUGGGCGUAAAGCGUGCGUAGGCGGCUUUUUAAGUCGGAUGUGAAAUCCCUGAGCUUAACUUAGGAAUUGCAUUCGAUACUGGGAAGCUAGAGUAUGGGAGAGGAUGGUAGAAUUCCAGGUGUAGCGGUGAAAUGCGUAGAGAUCUGGAGGAAUACCGAUGGCGAAGGCAGCCAUCUGGCCUAAUACUGACGCUGAGGUACGAAAGCAUGGGGAGCAAACAGGAUUAGAUACCCCGGUAGUCCCUGUCUCUUAUAC